rnacentral:rRNA from 1 species
AGAGUUUGAUCCUGGCUCAGUGACGAACGCUGGCGGCGUGCUUAACACAUGCAAGUCACGGGGGCCCGCAAGGGUAACCGGCGAACGGGUGCGUAACACGUGAGCAAUCUGCCUAGAUCUGGGGGAUAGCCGGCCCAACGGCCGGGUAAUACCGCAUACGCUUGCCGGGUGGCAUCACCUGGCAAGGAAACCUCCGGGGGAUCUAGAGGAGCUCGCUGGCCUAUCAGCUAGUUGGUGGGGUCACGGCCCACCAAGGCGACGACGGGUAGCUGGUCUGAGAGGAUGGCCAGCCACAUUGGGACUGAGAUACGGCCCAGACUCCUACGGGAGGCAGCAGUGGGGAAUAUUGCGCACAUGUGCCUGCAAUGGCUGACGCAGCUGACGCCGCGUGGGGGAUGAAGCAUUUCGGUGUGUAAACCCCUAUUGCUCGGGACGAACCUCUCCUUUCGAGGAGACUGACGGUACCGGGUGAGGAAGCACCGGCUAACUCCGUGCCAGCAGCCGCGGU